rnacentral:tRNA from 1 species
GGGGAUUUAGCUCAGCAGUAGAGCACUUGCCUAGCAAGUGCAAGGCCCUUGGUUCAAUCCCCA